AGGACUAACGCUGGCGGCGUGCCUAACACAUGCAAGUCGAACGAGAGUAGCAAUACUCUAGUGGCAGACGGGUGAGUAACACGUGGUCAACCUACCUCUAUGUGGGGGAUAACUAGCCGAAAGGUUAGCUAAUACCGCAUACGAUCGUCGAGCGGCAUCGCUUGACGAUGAAAGGAGCAAUCCGCAGAGAGACGGGACCGCGUCCCAUUAGCUAGUUGGUGGGGUAAUGGCCUACCAAGGCGACGAUGGGUAGCUGGCUUGAGAGAGCGACCAGCCACACUGGGACUGAGACACGGCCCAGACUCCUACGGGAGGCAGCAGUGAGGAAUUUUCCGCAAUGGGCGAAAGCCUGACGGAGCGACGCCGCGUGUGGGAAGAAGGCCUUCGGGUCGUAAACCACUGUCGAAGGGGAAGAUAUUGACGGUACCCUUGGAGGAAGCCCCGGCUAACGUACGCGCCAGCAGCCGC
rnacentral:rRNA from 1 species